CACACUGAUCUUUAAUAAAAGUCAGACGCUAACGCUACGGAAACUUUUUGUCAUUUGUUUUAUUUUAACAUGUUGAGAAAGUGUUUCUAUUCAAGUGUAUUGCGAACUCCAGUCGAACGCCAGUAAAAUCACAUAUUUUGUGCUGAAUAUACAAUAACGUUAGCAAACAAUUGUGAUGCGAAAGACCCGCUCGCAAACUCAGGCGGAAAAUGCCGCUUCUACUACAUCGCAGCAAUCAACGCCAACUGCAGUAAACACAUUUGAUGCGGCUAAAUUCAAGGAAUGUGAGCAAAUGGUGCAGAUGCUACGCGUUGUAGAGCUGCAAAAGAUUUUAUCGUUUCUAAACAUUUCCUUCGCUGGACGAAAAACCGAUCUGCAAGGUCGCAUCCUAUCGUUCCUGCGCACUAACUUGGAGCUGCUCGCACCCAAGGUACAAGAAGUCUACGCUCAAUCCGUGCAAGAACAAACACCCACGCUGCAGUACAUAGAUCCAACUAGAAUGUACUCGCACAUGCAGCUGCCGGCUGUGCAGCCAAAUAAUGCGAGUCUCGUUGGUGGUGCACCGACACAGGUGCCGCAGGUGGGCACCGGUAAUCCCGCCCAGAUGCCAGUCGGCGCUGGCGGUGCACCCGCCAAUAUGCUACCCUUCCUUCACACGCACGGUAUGAACAGCCAGAUGCCCAUACACCCAGAUGUGCGUCUGAAAAAGCUGGCAUUCUAUGAUGUCCUCGGCACACUAAUCAAGCCAUCAACCCUGGUGCCGCGCAAUACACAGCGUGUGCAAGAGGUGCCUUUCUAUUUCACACUGACGCCCCAGCAGGCCACAGAGAUAGCCACAAAUCGAGAUGUCCGCAAUAGUUCAAAAGUGGAGCACGCCAUACAGGUGCAGCUGCGCUUCUGUCUCGUGGAGACCUCUUGCGACCAGGAGGAUUGUUUUCCACCAAACGUCAAUGUCAAAGUGAACAACAAAUUAUGUCAGCUGCCUAAUGUCAUUCCUACAAACCGCCCAAACGUGGAACCAAAACGUCCACCACGGCCAGUGAAUGUGACCUCAAAUGUAAAAUUGUCGCCGACAGUAACAAAUACAAUUAUGGUACAGUGGUGCCCAGACUACACGCGUAGCUACUGUUUGGCUGUCUAUUUGGUAAAGAAGCUGACAUCCGCACAGCUCUUACAUCGUAUGAAGACAAAGGGCGUCAAGCCUGCAGAUUACACGCGUGCUCUGAUUAAGGAGAAGCUUACAGAGGAUGCGGACUGCGAGAUAGCCACAACUAUGCUGAAGGUGUCGCUUAAUUGCCCGCUGGGUAAAAUGAAAAUGUCGCUGCCGUGUCGCGCAUCAACCUGUUCGCACUUGCAGUGCUUUGACGCCAGCCUCUACCUGCAAAUGAACGAAAGAAAGCCCACCUGGAAUUGUCCUGUGUGCGAUAGACCAGCCAUCUAUGAUAAUUUAGUAAUUGAUGGCUAUUUCCAAGAGGUAUUAGGAUCCUCGUUGCUAAAGAGCGAUGAUACCGAGAUUCAGUUGCAUCAGGAUGGCUCGUGGAGUACACCAGGCUUACGUAGCGAGACUCAAAUACUAGAUACGCCAUCAAAGCCAGUUUCUAAAGUGGAGGUCAUAUCGGAUGAUGUUGAACUGAUUGACGACACCAAGCCGAUGAAGUCUGAUUUGUCUCCAAUGCCCGAGGAGCAGCCCACGUCCACGUCAAAUAGUGAAACCGUGGAUCUAACCUUAAGUGAUUCGGAUGAUGAUAUGCCGCUGGCCAAGCGGCGACCCCCAGCUAAACAAGCGAUUGCCACGUCCACAUCGAACGGAACGGGUGCAGUUCAACGUGCCUACGCCUCGUCGCAGCAGCCACAAAAAACUGGGCGCAGUUAGACGUAGCUAUUGCUGUUGCAGUUGGUCUGUUGUUUGCCACACCCUCCCUCCCCAACACCUUACCCCUUUUCACACAUGCUGCUGAUGCUACACAGUUGUUGCUCUUCGUUCCUACUUCAUUCUUAAACUUCAUUUUAUUCUAUCUGUAAUUCUGUUAUUUAAAUAUUGAACUACGCUCCUUCGUAUUCAAUUUGAAUCAGGCCUCUACACUUAAUAUAAAUUUAGUUAAUUCUUUUAGUUUAUUUUUAUUUGUCAUUUAAUUUAUCUUGUGUGUGCUUGCCUCGAUUAUUACACACGCCCAAACACACAGACACAUACAACAAAUAAUUAAUUAUAUAAUUUAUUGGGUUGUUCGUAAUAUAUAUAUUAUUUAAACACACACACACACGGAACUUAUAUACAAAAAAUCGAAACAAAUAGACCUAUGCAUUAAACAAUAGCGUAAUACUAAACAUAAAUCAAAUGUUAAUAUUUAAGUCUUUUUACACAAUAAUUCCUAAUUCAUAUAUAGAUAUAUAAUGCAAAAUAAAUUGGCAACAGAAUCGCAUCGAUUUUAAGUUAUAUUUCGUUCAUCUUUGAAACUAAAAAAAGAAGUAAUUCAAUCAACAACUGGCAAAAGAAGAAUAUUAAUUCCACUCAAUAAUAAAUAAAGCUAAAUCUAUCGAAGAAUUAAAUC